rnacentral:rRNA from 1 species
UACGUAGGAUCCAAGCGUUGUCCGGAUUUACUGGGUGUAAAGGGUGCGCAGGCGGCUGGUAAGUCAGGAGUGAAAUCUCGGCGCUUAACGCCGAAACUGCUUUUGAUACUGCCAGUCUUGAAUCAGCGAGAGACGUGUGGAAUCCGAGUGUAGCAGUGAAAUGUGUAGAUAUUCGGAAGAACACCAGUGGCGAAGGCAGCACGUUGGCGCUCGAUUGACGCUCAGGCACGAAAGCAUGGGGAUCAAACCAGGAGUUAGAAUACCCUGGU